UAAACGACUCUCGGCAACGGAUAUCUCGGCUCUCGCAUCGAUGAAGAACGUAGCGAAAUGCGAUACUUGGUGUGAAUUGCAGAAUCCCGUGAACCAUCGAGUCUUUGAACGCAAGUUGCGCCCGAAGCCUUCGGGCCAAGGGCACGCCUGCCUGGGCGUCACGC
rnacentral:rRNA from 1 species